rnacentral:rRNA from 1 species
AACGAACGCUGGCGGCAUGCCUAACACAUGCAAGUCGAACGAGACCUUCGGGUCUGGUGGCGCACGGGUGCGUAAAGCGUGGGAACCUGCCUUUAGGUUCGGCAUAACUCACCGAAAGGGGUGCUAAUAACGGAUAAUGACUUCGGACCAAAGAUUUAUCCCUUUUGGAUGGGCGGGAGUUGGGUUAGCUAGUUGGUAGGGUAAAAGCCUACCAAGGCGACGGUCCAUAGCUGGUCUGAGAGGAUGGUCAGCCACACUGGGACUGGGACACGGCCCAGACUCGUACGGGAGGCAGCAGUGGGGAAUAUAGGACAACGGGCGAAAGCCUGAUCCACCAAGGCUGCGUGAGGGAUGAAGGCCGUGGGGAUGGAAAGCUCUUGUACCCGGGAUGAUAAUGACAGUACCGGGAGAAUAAGCCCCGGCUAACUCCGUG